AUACGGAGGGUGUAAGCGUUAUUCGGAAUCACUGGGCGUAAAGGACGCGUAGGCGGGUUGGCAAGUCAGAUGUGAAAUCCUACAGCUUAACUGUAGAACUGCAUUUGAAACUGCUAACCUAGAGUAUGGGAGGGGGAGAUGGAAUUAGUGGUGUAGGGGUAAAAUCCGUAGAUAUCACUAGGAAUACCGAAAGCGAAGGCGAUCUCCUGGAACAUAACUGACGCUAAGGCGUGAAAGCGUGGGGAGCAAACAGGAUUAGAUACCCUAGUAGUCC
rnacentral:rRNA from 1 species